AGAGUUUGAUCCUGGCUCAGGACGAACGCUGGCGGCGCGCCUAACACAUGCAAGUCGAACGGGACUGUUCAAUCGGAAGUUUUCGGAUGGAAGAGUGGACAGUUUAGUGGCGAACGGGUGAGUAACGCGUGAGUAACCUGCCCUUCAGAGGGGGACAACAGUUGGAAACGACUGCUAAUACCGCAUAAGCCCACGGUGUCACAUGACACAGUGAGAAAAGGAGAAAUCCGCUGAAAGAUGGACUCGCGUCUGAUUAGAUAGUUGGUGGGGUAACGGCCUACCAAGUCGACGAUCAGUAGCCGGACUGAGAGGUUGAACGGCCACAUUGGGACUGAGAGACGGCCCAGACUCCUACGGGAGGCAGCAGUGGGGAAUAUUGCACAAUGGGGGAAACCCUGAUGCAGCGACGCCGCGUGAAGGAAGAAGGUAUUCGUAUUGUAAACUUCUGUCGCAGAUGACGAAUGAUGACGGUAAUCUGCAAGAAAGCACCGGCUAACUACGUGCCAGCAGCCGCGGUAAAACGUAGGGUGCUAGCGUUGUCCGGAAUUACUGGGUGUAAAGGGAGCGCAGGUGGCAGUGCAAGUUGGAUGUAAAAUCUACGGGCUCAACCCGUAUAAGCAUUCAAAACUGUGCAGCUUGAGUGAAGUAGAGGUAGGUGGAAUUUCCGGUGUAGCGGUGGAAUGCGUAGAUAUCGGAAGGAACAUCAGUGGCGAAGGCGACCUACUGGGCUUUAACUGACGCUGAGGCUCGAAAGCAUGGGUAGCAAACAGGAUUAGAUACCCUGGUAGUCCAUGCUGUAAACGAUGAUUACUAGGUGUGGGGGCGAAAGCUUCCGUGCCGGAGUUAACACAAUAAGUAAUCCACCUGGGGAGUACGACCGCAAGGUUGAAACUCAAAGGAAUUGACGGGGGCCCGCACAAGCAGUGGAAGUAUGUGGGUUUAAUUCGAAGCAACGCGAAGAACCUUACCAGGUCUUGACAUCGUGCGCAAAGGCAAAAGAUUGCUGAAAUCACUCUUUUUAGAAUGACGUUAAAAACAGGUGGUGCCAUGGGUGUCCUCCACCUCCUGUCCUGAGAUGUUGGGUUAAGUCCCGCAACGAGCGCAACCCUUAUCAUUAGUUACUACGAAAGAGGACUCUAAUGAGACUGCCGUUGAGAAAACGGAGGAAGGUGGGGAUGACGUCAAAUCAUCAUGCCCCUUAUGACCUGGGCUACACACGUACUACAAUGGCUGUCAACAAAGUGAACCAAAUACGCGAGUAAGAGGGAAACACAAAAAACAGUCACAGUUCGGAUUGUAGGCUGCAACUCGCCUACAUGAAGCCGGAAUUGCUAGUAAUCGCGGAUCAGCAUGCCGCGGUGAAUACGUUCCCGGGCCUUGUACACACCGCCCGUC
rnacentral:rRNA from 1 species